UACGAGGGGGGCAAAUGUUGUUCGGAAUCACUGGGCAUAAAGGGAGCGUAGGCGGGUUUUUAAGUCAGGUGUUUAAUCCCGGGGCCCAACCCCGGACAGGCACUUGAAACUGGGAAUCUUGAAUAGUGGAGAGGUCAGUGGAAUUGGGGGUGUAGCGGUGGAAUGCGUAGAGAUCCCCAAGAACACCCGUUGCGAAGGCGGCUGACUGGACACAUAUUGACGCUGAGGCUCGAAAGCAUGGGGAGCAAACAGG
rnacentral:rRNA from 1 species